rnacentral:rRNA from 1 species
GAUGAACGCUGGCGGCGUGCCUAAUACAUGCAAGUCGAGCGAACAGACGAGGAGCUUGCUCCUCUGACGUUAGCGGCGGACGGGUGAGUAACACGUGGAUAACCUACCUAUAAGACUGGGAUAACUUCGGGAAACCGGAGCUAAUACCGGAUAAUAUAUUGAACCGCAUGGUUCAAUAGUGAAAGACGGUUUUGCUGUCACUUAUAGAUGGAUCCGCGCCGCAUUAGCUAGUUGGUAAGGUAACGGCUUACCAAGGCAACGAUGCGUAGCCGACCUGAGAGGGUGAUCGGCCACACUGGAACUGAGACACGGUCCAGACUCCUACGGGAGGCAGCAGUAGGGAAUCGUCCGCAAUGGGCGAAAGCCUGACGGAGCAACGCCGCGUGAGUGAUGAAGGUCUUCGGAUCGUAAAACUCUGUUAUUAGGGAAGAACAAAUGUGUAAGUAACUAUGCACGUCUUGACGGUACCUAAUCAGAAAGCCGCGGCUAACUACGUG